ensembl:lncRNA
GAGAAUAUCUACUGAAUUGAUUUUGCAUCCCUCCAUCCAUCACCUUCCUCAGAACGCACCACCACCCCACUAAUUCACUGCAGUUUCUCAGCUUGCCUGACAGGUUCUGCUUCUCACUCAUCUAUCACACCUCUCUGAAAAGAAAGAAGCAGAUGCUAAACAGCACUAAAUUCACCUUCUGCUUUUCUGCCUGGCUCCGCCCUCACUUGCUCAGGAGAAGGUAACUGGGGAAGCCAAUUGCCUGGCAGUGUCUGGAAAAUACAUCUUUGUUGGUCUGUGCGUGGAUAUGGCUGCCUUCAGGAUGUUUGACUGUGAGCAGGUCAGUGCUUGGGAUGUAGUCAAGACAGAGGUUUGUGCCAUCAGCUCCACAGAGUUAGGGAAUGGGAACCACACUGCGCAGGCUGUGGAUGGAAUUGGUGAGUGGGACAUGGGUUUCCCCAUCUUGACUUGCGGGUCGCUGUGCUGAAAAGUUGGCAGCUACUUUAUGGAAGGGUGCUAAAUCAGGAGGAGUGUGAGUAUGGCUGACAGGUUUCCUAGAAAGCCCUGCAGAGAAAGGUGUUAGAUAACAGAUUGUAAGGUGAUAGAGUGGCCCUAGGGCCUUGGGAUUAGAAAAGGGUGUGGGUUCGGUGUCCUGACUGGAACAGCAAAGGCAGAUGUGGAGCUGAGGCUGAAGUGCAAUAUAUUUUAGGAAUACAUUGGACCAGACAGAAAAAAGCAUUGUUAAGUGUCACCUCUUGCCUCUGCUUUGUUUCAGUAUCUGUAAUUGCACAGUCCCGUGGUAAAUAGGUUUGUUUCUUGAUUCAUCUGAAACCUGUCAUUUCUGGCAGAGAUAGCUUUCAAAAUCCAUUAUGCAUUGCUGAGUACAAUCGAGUGCUUGCUGGUGUUGACAUAAGGAAGCCAAUGAAAGUUUAUUGCUGGAAGCAGUGGGAUAUUCUUCCACCUGCCCAGGAAAAAAAUAUAGCCUUGUUCACACCCCAGCACGUUAUAACAGCCCUCUCUCAAGAGCACAGCUGCCAUCUGUUCACUUUCCUUCUGCAAAAUCUGUAUUUCCAUUGCAGGGCUUGUUUGACUCUUCUGCUUUCACAAGGAAACUUCCUGCUCAUUAAAAUCCUAAACGAGGUGAUGAGAUGGGGAGGGAGCUAACCUUGUACUGAGAUGAUGUCAAAAUGCCUCAGAAAGGCAAGGAGCAAAUUUCCAAAGCCCUUUGGAUGCCUUGAAGAAAGCAGAUGAUGGCAGCAUGCUGGGUUUGGGGCACAGUCACCUGAUUGAGGACUCCCAGUGGGAGAAGCAGGAGGUGAUUUUUGCAGCACUUAUCAGGGGUAUCUGGAGGUUGAGGGUGAGAAUGAGAGCAAGGAUGAAGUCCUCAGCUGAGUGGGAGUCCUAGUCAGCAUUCUGUUCCAUGAAACUUCAGUGUGGGACAUGUGAAGUACAGAUGGAAGCUUCUGGCUUGGUUCUACUGCUUUCAUCCUAAGGUUUCAGGACAGGGGAUUAGCAUCAUUCCAGAUGCUGUUGCAGUGCUACCUACUUAUCAAGGCCUUUCUUUUACAUGUAUUUCUUUCCUUCCUUACUCAGACAUGCUACUUUUCAUUUUCUCCUCCCCAGCUGGAUCCUGUAGAUGGGACUAGUCAGGUAAUCCAACUGGGCUAAAAGUUGUUGACAUGUGAAGUAUCUCCACUGCAUGACAUUGAGCUCCAGUUAGAGAUCACUGACUCUGGGUUGGGUUGACUCUGUAAAUUCCAUCUUCCAGAACAAAAGUCUGACUUAAACUGUCAACCCUAUGCCAGCAUGGAGUCAAACAAACUUCUCUCCUUGGUUUAAAUUAAAUGAGAGAACACG